UACGGAGGGGCAAGCGUUGUUCGGAAUUAUUGGGCGUAAAGGGCGCGUAGGUGGCUUUGUAAGUCAUGCGUGAAAGCCCCUGGCUUCACCAGGGAAGGGCGUGUGAAACUGCAAGGCUAGAGGGUGGCAGAGGAGAGUGGAAUCCCCAGUGUAGCGGUGAAAUGCGUAGAGAUUGGGGAGAACGCCAGUGGCGAAGGCGGCUCUCUGGACCAUUCCUGACGCUGAGGCGCGAAAGCUAGGGGAGCAAAUGGGAUUAGAUACCCUGGUAGU
rnacentral:rRNA from 1 species